rnacentral:rRNA from 1 species
UACGGAGGGUGCGAGCGUUGUCCGGAAUCACUGGGCGUAAGGGCGCGUAGGCGGCUCAUGAAGGCUGUGGUGAAAGUCCGGGGCUCAACCUCGGAUCGGCCGUGGCGACUCGUGGGCUGGAGCACUGUAGAGGCGGGUGGAAUUCCGGGUGUAGCGGUGGAAUGCGUAGAGAUCCGGAAGAACACCAGUGGCGAAGGCGGCCCGCUGGGCAGUGGCUGACGCUGAAGCGCGACAGCGUGGGGAGCAAACAGG